GCUUGGGAUGGCUGACGAGCGGCGGACGGGUGAGUAACUACAUAGGAAUCUACCCGGUAGUGGGGGAUAACCUGGGGAAACCCAGGCUAAUACCGCAUACGUCCUACGGGAGAAAGGGGGCUUUGGCUCCCGCUAUUGGAUGAGCCUAUGCCGGAUUAGCUGGUUGGUGAGGUAAUGGCUCACCAAGGCGACGAUCCGUAGCUGGUCUGAGAGGAUGAUCAGCCACAUCGGGACUGAGACACGGCCCGAACUCCUACGGGAGGCAGCAGUGGGGAAUAUUGGACAAUGGGGGCAACCCUGAUCCAGCCAUGCCGCGUGUGUGAAGAAGGCCCUCGGGUUGUAAAGCACUUUCAGCGAGGAAGAACGCCUGUCGGUUAAUACCCGGCAGGAAAGACAUCACUCGCAGAAGAAGCACCGGCUAACUCCGUGCCAGCAGCCGCGGUAAUACGGAGGGUGCAAGCGUUAAUCGGAAUUACUGGGCGUAAAGCGCGCGUAGGUGGCUUGAUAAGCCGGUUGUGAAAGCCCCGGGCUCAACCUGGGAACGGCAUCCGGAACUAUGAGGCUAGAGUGCAGGAGAGGAAGGUAGAAUUCCCGGUGUAGCGGUGAAAUGCGUAGAGAUCGGGAGGAAUACCAGUGGCGAAGGCGGCCUUCUGGACUGACACUGACACUGAGGUGCGAAAGCGUGGGUAGCAAACAGGAUU
rnacentral:rRNA from 1 species